AUUGAACGCUGGCGGCAUGCCUUACACAUGCAAGUCGAACGGUAACAGGUCUUCGGAUGCUGACGAGUGGCGAACGGGUGAGUAAUACAUCGGAACGUGCCUAGUAGUGGGGGAUAACUACUCGAAAGAGUGGCUAAUACCGCAUGAGAUCUACGGAUGAAAGCAGGGGAUCACAAGACCUUGUGCUACUAGAGCGGCCGAUGGCAGAUUAGGUAGUUGGUGGGAUAAAAGCUUACCAAGCCGACGAUCUGUAGCUGGUCUGAGAGGACGAUCGGCCACACUGGGACUGAGACACGGCCCAGACUCCUACGGGAGGCAGCAGUGGGGAAUUUUGGACAAUGGGCGCAAGCCUGAUCCAGCAAUGCCGCGUGCAGGAUGAAGGCCUUCGGGUUGUAAACUGCUUUUGUACGGAACGAAAAGCCCUGGGUUAAUACCCUGGGGUCAUGACGGUACCGUAAGAAUAAGCACCGGCUAACUACGUGCCAGCAGCCGCCGUAACAC
rnacentral:rRNA from 1 species